UUUCUAAAUAAUAUGAUGAAAUAUACAUGCAACAUAGAGUCAAGCUCUGAGUCACUAAAAAUAGAUGACAUGGGAAGAGAAUUGCUAUUUUACUACUGAUAUUUUUAAU
rnacentral:snoRNA from 1 species